rnacentral:rRNA from 1 species
UACGGGGGGGGCAAGCGUUGUUCGGAAUUACUGGGCGUAAAGGGCGCGUAGGCGGCCUGCUAAGUCGGACGUGAAAUCCCUCGGCUUAACCAGGGAACUGCGUCUGAUACUGGAUGGCUUGAGUUUGGGAGAGGGAUGCGGAAUUCCAGGUGUAGCGGUGAAAUGCGUAGAUAAUCUGGAGGAACACCGGUGGCGAAGGCAGCUCGCUGGGACGGUACUGACGCUGAGGCGCGAAAGCGUGGGGAGCAAACAGGAGUUAAGAAACC